rnacentral:misc_RNA from 1 species
GGGGUAUGGGUCGAAUUCGGCAAGCGGGGACUUCUGAUUCUGGUGAUUCUCACACGAUUCAGGGGUUUGACUUUGCCGAGUGGCUGAAGAGCACUGUGACGGAGAGGGACUAUGUGGUGAUGAAGAUGGAUGUGGAGGGGACUGAGUUUGAUCUCGUGCCUAGGCUGUUUGAGACGGGGGCUAUCUGUUUGAUUGAUGAGCUGUUUCUGGAAUGCCACUAUAAUAGGUGGCAGAGGUGCUGUCCGGGGGUGAGGUCACCGAAGUAUCAGUAUACCUAUGGGGAGUGCUUGGAUCUGUUCUCGUCUCUUCGGGACAGCGGGGUUCUUGUUCAUCAGUGGUGGUGAGAGUUGGUAACUGAUUACUACACACAUAGCGGGGUUCUUGUUCAUCAGCGGCGGUGAGAGUUG